UUUGGUUAUUUAAUAUAAAGUCUGACCUGCCCACUGAAUUUAUUUUGAAGGGCCGCAGUAUUUUGACUGUGCAAAGGUAGCAUAAUCAUUAGUCUUUUAAUUGAAGGCUGGUAUGAAUGGUUGGAUGAGGUACAAGCUGUGUCAUAAAAAUUAAUAAUUGAAUUUACCUUUUUAGUCAAAAGGCUAAAAUAAAAUUAAAAGACGAGAAGACCCUAUAGAGCUUUAUAUAAUUUAUAUUUAAAUUAUUAAGAUUUUUUAAAUUUAAUUAUUUUAUUAUAUUUUGUUGGGGUGACAAUAAAAUUUAUAAAACUUUUAUUUUUUGUUAACAUUUAUUUAUGAAUACAUGAUCCAGUUUUAUUGAUUAUAAAUUUAAGUUACCUUAGGGAUAACAGCGUAAUUUUUUUUGAGAGUUCUUAUCGACAAAAAAGAUUGCGACCUCGAUGUUGGAUUAAGAGUAAUUUUGGGUGUAGAAGUUCAAAGUUUAAGUCUGUUCGACUUUUAAAUUCUUACAU
rnacentral:rRNA from 1 species